CAACUCUUGCUCUUAGCUUGCAUGAAGAGAUGGUCAAUGGGAUUAAUACGUUAUGUGUUAUUUGUAAGCCUAAUGUUAAGUAAAUAAGAGCACCAGCUCGGUCAUGCCAUCGUCCCCACCCCGGGGUGGAUCACCUCAGUCGAACGGUACGAGCAGAACACUGAAAAUGAGCCUUCUACAAAUAUGAGCCGACCAGAGAUGAGUACCAGCCACAGAAGUACACCGACUAGAAACAUAUACCAAGCCGAUACCCAUCCCCCAAAGAACGGAAACACGAUUUCACAGAAUCACGAUAGUUGCGCAUUUCCCAGAACCGUUGAGGGAGACGCGAGAUCCCACGUUUACCCACAAUGUGGCAGUUAAAGUCCCAUGAAGGGCCGCCACUACCCGAAAAAAGAGGGAUGAAGGGUAAACGGAAACGUGGGAACAGCGGCUAUAAAAGAGGAAGAAAUCAGUGAAGAAAGGGGACAGAAAAACGGAGAGAAGGGAAAACUCUGCCAAUUAUAUCCAGACCUUUUUCAGUACCAAUAGUGAGCCAAUUCUAAGCAAUUGUUGGAACCUUAAUUGCAUCGUUUUUCCGUAAACACCUUGUGCUAACUUAGGCAUCGGAGGGUUUACGCCGGCAAAACCACCGGCGUCUCUGAUUCACUUUUGUGAACGCAGACUUAGUGAGAAAAAGAAGAAGAAGUCUAACUUCAGCAACUAGAGCGAUCGUUGAAGCAAGGAGAAAUUGACAUCCUCAUUGUUGACAACACAAACGUUGGUGUAAAGAUCUGGUCGGACAGAGGACGAGCAGAUUUCAGCAUCAACACCUAGUACUGUUACUUAUGCUGUUAUCAUUGAUGGUCUUUGUAAAGACGGUUACAUAGACAAGGCUAAAGAUCUGUUUUUGGAAAUGAAGAGCAAAGGGAUUCAUCCAAAUGUGGUUGCUUACAACUGUUUAGUUCA
rnacentral:lncRNA from 1 species